GUGUGUUCCAGGUAAAUCCGGUUCACUUUAACACUGAGGCGUGACGACGAGGCACUACGGUGCUGAAGCAACAAAUGCCCUGCUUCCAGGAAAAGCCUCUAAGCAUCAGGUAACAUCAAAUCGUACCCCAAACCGACACAGGUGGUCAGGUAGAGAAUACCAAGGCGCUUGAGAGAACUCGGGUGAAGGAACUAGGCAAAAUGGUGCCGUAACUUCGGGAGAAGGCACGCUGACACGUAGGUGAAGUGAUUUACUCAUGGAGCUGAAGUCAGUCGAAGAUACCAGCUGGCUGCAACUGUUUAUUAAAAACACAGCACUGUGCAAACACGAAAGUGGACGUAUACGGUGUGACGCCUGCCCGGUGCCGGAAGGUUAAUUGAUGGGGUCAGCGCAAGCGAAGCUCCUGAUCGAAGCCCCGGUAAACGGCGGCCGUAACUAUAACGGUCCUAAGGUAGCGAAAUUCCUUGUCGGGUAAGUUCCGACCUGCACGAAUGGCGUAAUGAUGGCCAGGCUGUCUCCACCCGAGACUCAGUGAAAUUGAACUCGCUGUGAAGAUGCAGUGUACCCGCGGCAAGACGGAAAGACCCCGUGAACCUUUACUAUAGCUUGACACUGAACAUUGAGCCUUGAUGUGUAGGAUAGGUGGGAGGCUUUGAAGUGUGGACGCCAGUCUGCAUGGAGCCGACCUUGAAAUACCACCCUUUAAUGUUUGAUGUUCUAACGUGGACCCGUUACCCGGGUUGCGGACAGUGUCUGGUGGGUAGUUUGACUGGGGCGGUCUCCUCCUAAAGAGUAACGGAGGAGCACGAAGGUUGGCUAAUCCUGGUCGGACAUCAGGAGGUUAGUGCAAUGGCAUAAGCCAGCUUGACUGCGAGCGUGACGGCGCGAGCAGGUGCGAAAGCAGGUCAUAGUGAUCCGGUGGUUCUGAAUGGAAGGGCCAUCGCUCAACGGAUAAAAGGUACUCCGGGGAUAACAGGCUGAUACCGCCCAAGAGUUCAUAUCGACGGCGGUGUUUGGCACCUCGAUGUCGGCUCAUCACAUCCUGGGGCUGAAGUAGGUCCCAAGGGUAUGGCUGUUCGCCAUUUAAAGUGGUACGCGAGCUGGGUUUAGAACGUCGUGAGACAGUUCGGUCCCUAUCUGCCGUGGGCGCUGGAGAACUGAGGGGGGCUGCUCCUAGUACGAGAGGACCGGAGUGGACGCAUCACUGGUGUUCGGGUUGUCAUGCCAAUGGCACUGCCCGGUAGCUAAAUGCGGAAGAGAUAAGUGCUGAAAGCAUCUAAGCACGAAACUUGCCCCGAGAUGAGUUCUCCCUGAGACUUAAAGUCUCCUGAAGGAACGUUGAAGACGACGACGUUGAUAGGCCGGGUGUGUAAGCGCAGCGAUGCGUUGAGCUAACCGGUACUAAUGAACCGUGAGGCUUAACCUU
rnacentral:rRNA from 1 species